UACGUAGGGUGCAAGCGUUAUCCGGAUUUAUUGGGCGUAAAGCGUUCUGUAGGCGGUUUUGUAAGUAUACGGUUAAAGGCUCCGGCUUAACUGGGGAGAUGCUGUAUAAACUACAAUGACUAGAUGGUUAUCGGGAGUAUCGGAAUUCUCGGUGGAGGGGUGAAAUCCGUUGAUAUCGAGAGGAACACCAAAGGCGAAGGCAGAUACUUAGGUAACUCAUGACGCUGAUAGACGACAGCUAGGGGAGAGAAAGGG
rnacentral:rRNA from 1 species